GUGCCUCGAAUGAUAGUGAACGUGGUCCAGAUACUGCCGAUGGAGACCCUGAGGGAAGUACAGAAACCCACACCAGGAUGUCUGCUCCAAAGGUACAGGAAAUUAAAUCAAGCUUUCAAAAUUGAGCAAAGAGAGAAAGUGGUGUCAUGGAUGAUGACUGCAGAUGAAAAAUGCUAGUCAUUCUUUAACUGUCUUUAAAUGUUGAUGUGUAAGUGCUACAGGAUCAUUUCUCUCCUAUCCAAUGCUCUGAUCUCUCCAGGUCAUUCUGCUCCUGUCUGAUAAAUCCAGCUGCGGGAUCUGCUGAUCUGAAGGAGCUGGUUGGAGUCAACCUGAAAAAAAAAGUGUGUUUGCUUUCACAGUUAUCGAUACAGUUAUAUAAUGAAUCUGUAAUUUGCUGAUAUGAUGCUGAAGGACAUAUCUUUUGUCUCAGAAAGCACUGGAGCAGCUCUUGUACACUGACCGCUUCUUUAAGAAUGACUUUGCUGUAGUUUUGCAGCCGUUCCUGAAACACGCAGAUCCUCCAAGACUCCCUGUGAGUAGUGACCACUGACUGUUUACUAAUUACUAUAAUUUAUAGCACUUUGCUGCUAGUUUUACAUUAAGGUUUAAAUACUAAAGUUUCCAUUAAAAUAGGAAUGUGCUGUUCAGAAUUUGUGCUUUAUAUUUUUCUCUGAUUAGAACGGGAAGAUUGACAUGAGCUUUUUUACUCCGGACUGUUUCCACUUCACCAUGAAAGGACAUGAGGAGUUAGCCAAGGGACUGUGGAACAACAUGUUUCAACUUGAGGGGGAAAAAUUCAUGGUGGAGAGCUUUUCAAACCCUAUUGAGCUCAUUUGCCCCCCUGUGAGUCAUCCGUACAUUUACACCAGACCCAGUGCUGUAAAAUCAGGCCCAUCACUUCCCGUAAUGCCCCAGUCAGCUGGCAUCAGACUAACUGUUCUCUACCUCAUCUUGGCUUUCCUUCCACUGUGGUUGGCUGUUAAUCUGGCCUCCUUGUAGGACAUCCAUAUGGAGUAUCGUGGUACAUCAUGUCUGCCCACCCGAUGUUCUACUUUGGCUGGAUAUCAUUGCUUUGAUGGUCUCUGAAGCACUGAGGAUCUAUUCUGUGACUUGAGCCACUGCAGGAUGCUCCAUGGUAAAACUGAUAAUGAGGGAGUAAAAGAUAAAUAAGUUAUCAAAGAUGAGCAGGAAAUUGGAGUUGGCAAAAUAUGAAGGCUUGGUUACAGUCAAUAUCAUAUUUAAUUGCUCUAUAGAGUUGCAGUGGAAAUGGGAAUAUUGAAACCUCAGAAUAGAAAAAUAUAUGCUAAUGUGAUGACCUUUUUUGAUAUACCCAACCAAAAUAGCACAAGAGCAGGUGCAAAGCCACUUUUAGCUCAGCGUAAUGUUGCUAUAAUAAAUUUAGGUAUGAAAGGUAACUGUGUAAGCUA
ensembl:lncRNA